UAUGGGCAACCCAGCAACUUUUCCUCUGGACAGGUUUUGAUAAAUCUACCCACAGAGCAGAAAGAGAAUUUUCGGUCUAGGUCUGAACAUUUAGACCCAGAUUGAUAAAAACAUUUGAAGUGAAAUUUUGUAUAAUACUAUGGGUUGUUCGGGUAAGACUUAUCCUAUAAUGUCACAGAAAAGGGUCCCUAAAUUGUGACCAACUUGUGAUCCUAAUCAGACUCUGACUUUGAAAUCUACAGGUUAAUGGGGGUCUUGAUGAUGAGACUCCCAACAUCAAUUUUUGAUGGCUUAUCCUAAGUCACAGUUAAAUCUUGAAAAACCUGUAUAAAAAUAUUUAAGAAAUAAGAGUAUGGCACUUAAAUGGCUAGAAUUCUCAGAUCCUUUCCAAUCUGGUUCUUGAUCUCUAAAUCUGCAGUAUAUGUAUUUAAAAGGCUUAUUAGGAAUUUAGGCAGGAUAUAAAGCUAACAUAGAAAUAAGGCAUGUCACACUUCUUCUAUAGGGAAUACUUAAAUUAUUGUGUUGAAAUAACGUAAAUGGGCACUGUCAGAUCCCAAAAUGUUAUAUGUUGUUACUGACAAAAAUGUAAGACCUUUUGUAAUAUAGUGGAAAUCCCACCACUAGGGGUCCCGAUACCUACUGGGACACUAACCAGUCCUGCAGCAGCAUCAGGCUUGUCCAUGAGUCAUAGACAAGAGAUAAUGCAUGGACAAGGCUGAAAGCAGGUGCACCAAUCACCUUCCACAAACACAAGGGAGAGACACACCCCAUUCCCCUGUGAGCCAAUGAAAAGAGGUAUUUUACAAUUAUUAUAGGUGUUAGAGGCAUAUAAAUUAUAUGUACAUGGUCAGGAUUAGGUACUCAGUAACAUAUAACAUUUUUUGUGGGAUCUGACAGGUACACUUUAAGCGUAUGUCUGUCUGUCCAGAAGAAAGAUAUUAAAGACCCCCUUUAUUGUUGUUAACGAGAAAAAGUUAUGCUGAAAUUGUCCGCUCAUGUUUAGAGAUCUGGAGAAAUAACAUGAAGACUAGGCUAAGGGUUUUCCCAAAACAUUCUCUAUUUAUUGUGUGUGUGUGUGUGUUAAAUCAAUGAGAAUGCCUACUAUGUUACAGUAUUUAUUCUUGUGGACUUUUCUGUGGUGCAAACUAACUUCAUAGAUUAUGCUGUGGUUCAGUGCAUUACACAGCCAGUCAGCUGAGGCGGGACAACGCUCUAGCCGGCGAUUUGCUGAGCCUCAGUGUGACUCGCUGACCAUGACCAGACCAGACCAGGAAGAAGAUAGCGGCAAAGGAGCGGAGCGAGAUACCGGGACACAGAGAAUGUGGCAGCAGAUGCUGAAGAGAGGAGUUUUGGCUGGAAGAAGUAAUCAUGGUGGUCUUAUCCAGAUGAAGAAGAAAAGAAAAGUGGAUGACAUUGAUCAGAGGAUGUAACUGUAAUCACGUAUAUGGUCUGCAGAUCCUGUGUACAGCUGGAUGCCGAUGCAGCAGAGGUACUGUAUGUGCCAGAUAGAAAGAAAUGCAUCCUGUCCAAUAGGAAGAAGACUUUGUAAACCACGUAUAACUACAGAUAGCAGGCUCUGCUUCAAACCAUCCUUCACUGCCAGACUGAAACAGUAUCUGUCAUAUUUCCAAGACUGGAAAUCUGCCCAGAACUACGUCCAAUGACAGCUCAUUCCACCACCAUUGACGACACACAUAUUCCAUGCCACUGUGCCAUGCCUCACAGCUAUGUAUUGGAUUCUCUAAUAGCCUAACUCUCUGCAAGCUGACUAAUUCUAUUUCUUGUAUCCAGAUACAAACAGAUCGACAAAUGGAAAUUGGCAGCAUGGUGGCUCGGUGGUUAGAAAUGUUGCCUUACAGCCCUUUGAGAACAUUGACCAGUGUGAGUGAUGAGAAUCUAUGUAUGGCACUGUGGAAUAUGUUGGCCCUAUAGAAUCUGGACAUAAUUGCAUGAAGGGAAGAGUUAUCUAUAGAUGUAAUUUGAGGGUCUAAAAGAGAAACUGCCCUUGUUGCCUAUAGUAACCAAUCACAACCCAGGUGUCAAAUUCUGUCAAAUUCUGCUUUUGAAAAAGCAAAGCCGAGCUCUCUGGUUUCUAUGGGCAACAAAGACAGCUUUCAAAUCACUUUGACAAAUCUCCCUGUGUCCAUUUUUUGUUAAAUACCUUUGAACAGUAGGACUUAAAGGGGUACUCCUGCUCGAAUACAUCUUAUCCCCUAUCCAAAGGAUAGGGGAUAA